rnacentral:lncRNA from 1 species
CGCCGCCACCUCCUCCGCCUUACUACUACAAAUCUCCGCCUCCGCCUCCUCCCUACAAGUAUGAAUCGCCGCCUCCGCCUCCCUACAAGUACGAGUCGCCGCCUCCACCACCGUACUACUACAAAUCACCUCCGCCGCCCCCAUACAAGUAUGAAUCGCCGCCGCCACCACCAUACAAGUAUGAAUCGCCGCCGCCACCACCAUACAAGUAUGAAUCGCCUCCUCCACCACCAUAUAAGUACGAAUCGCCACCGCCACCACCAUACAAGUACGAGUCGCCUCCUCCACCUCCGUACAAGUAUGAAUCGCCUCCUCCCCCACCAUACUACUACAAAUCACCACCACCACCUCCUUACAAGUAUGAAUCUCCCCCUCCACCUCCAUAUUACUACAAAUCUCCACCCCCGCCACCACCUUACUACUACAAAUCACCACCACCACCUUCUCCUGUCUACAAAUAUAAAUCUCCACCACCACCACCUUACAAGUACGAAUCUCCUCCUCCACCUCCAUACUAUUACAAGUCUCCACCACCACCGCCGUAUUACUACAAGUCUCCACCACCACCACCUCCAGUUUACAAAUACAAAUCUCCUCCUCCGCCACCAUAUUACUACAAAUCACCACCUCCUCCAUCACCAGUAUAUUACUACAAAUCUCCUCCUCCACCAGCGUAUUACUACAAAUCUCCCCCACCGCCUGUCUACUAUUACAAAUCCCCGCCACCUCCAGCUUACCACUACCAAUCGCCACCCCCACCAAGUUACAAGCUGGUAGUGGUCACGGGCAAGGUCUAUUGCAACAGAUGCUGGAACACCACAAGCAGAUACCUUCAGGCAUCACCACAUGGGUCUGCUAGGUACAUUCUCAAUUGCAUUGUAUUCGAUAUUGUUCUCCUCACUCAUUUCCUCUUGAUACUGUGUGCAAUAAUGCAGGUGGCAAAGUGAAGAUCACAUGUGGCGAAUCUUACUACUACGGCUACACCAACAAGCAUGGAAUCUUUAGAAUUGAGCUCCCGCACCAAUCCUGGGAAGAAGCAAGCAGCUGCAAGGCCAAGAUUAUCAAGAGCAGCUACAUCAAGUCGUCAUGCAAUGUCAUCACGGACUACAGGUCUGGUGCAACAGGGGCCAAGCUCAAGUUCAAAUCGAAAACAGAGAAGGAGCUCGUCUUGACAGCCGGUCCUUUCAUCUAUGCAACUCCAGAGCCAUCGUCAGUCUGCUUCUACACAUCACCUCCCUAUGAGUACAAGUCACCUCCGCCACCAACACCGGUCUACCAUUACGCCUCUCCGCCACCUCCGGUCUACUACUACAAAUCGCCACCUCCUCCUUCACCGGUUUACUACUACAAAUCCCCUCCUCCUCCUUCGCCGGUCUACUAUUACAAAUCCCCGCCUCCACCACCAUACUAUUACAAGUCCCCACCUCCACCUCCGCCUAAGUAUUACUACAAGUCGCCCCCACCACCGUCUCCAUACUAUUACAAAUCCCCGCCCCCUCCACCGUACUAUUACAAAUCCCCACCACCACCUCCCUACAAAUACGAAUCGCCGCCGCCUCCUCCUUACAAAUACGAGUCCCCACCUCCACCACCUUACUAUUACAAGUCCCCACCACCACCUCCAUACAAAUAUGAAUCCCCGCCACCUCCAGUCUACAAAUAUGAGUCUCCGCCACCCCCAGUUUACAAAUACAAGUCGCCACCACCACCAUACAAGUACGAGUCACCACCACCACCUCCAUACAAGUAUGAAUCCCCGCCACCUCCACCUUAUUACUACAAGUCCCCUCCACCACCACCAUACAAGUACGAGUCGCCACCACCUCCUCCGUACAAGUAUGAAUCUCCACCACCACCAGUUUACAAAUACAAGUCACCUCCGCCGCCACCUUAUUACUACAAAUCCCCACCGCCACCUCCAUACAAGUACGAGUCUCCACCUCCUCCUCCGUACAAGUAUGAAUCUCCACCACCACCACCUUAUUACUACAAAUCCCCCCCGCCACCUCCAUACAAGUACGAGUCACCGCCUCCUCCUCCGUACAAGUAUGAAUCUCCACCACCGCCAGUUUACAAAUACAAGUCACCCCCGCCACCACCUUAUUACUACAAAUCCCCGCCACCACCUCCAUACAAGUACGAGUCUCCACCUCCUCCUCCGUACAAGUAUGAAUCUCCACCACCACCUCCUUAUUACUACAAAUCCCCGCCGCCACCUCCCUACAAGUAUGAAUCCCCGCCACCACCUCCCUACAAAUACGAGUCACCUCCACCACCACCUUACUAUUACAAAUCUCCUCCACCGCCUCCAUACAAGUAUGAGUCGCCACCACCACCAGUCUACAAAUACGAGUCUCCGCCACCCCCAGUUUACAAAUACAAGUCGCCCCCUCCACCUUAUUACUACAAGUCUCCGCCACCCCCGCCAUACAAAUAUGAAUCCCCACCUCCACCUCCCUACAAGUAUGAAUCGCCUCCUCCUCCACCUUACUACUACAAGUCCCCUCCACCACCUCCCUACAAAUAUGAAUCCCCGCCACCACCUCCCUAUAAAUACGAGUCACCACCACCACCACCUUACUAUUACAAAUCUCCUCCACCGCCUCCAUACAAGUAUGAGUCGCCACCACCACCUCCCUACAAAUACGAGUCACCACCACCACCACCUUACAAGUAUGAAUCCCCACCUCCACCUCCGUACAAGUAUGAAUCACCUCCACCGCCUCCAUACAAGUAUGAAUCCCCUCCUCCACCUCCCUACAAAUACGAGUCACCACCCCCACCACCUUAUUACUACAAAUCGCCUCCGCCACCGGAGUAUCAAUCAC